rnacentral:rRNA from 1 species
GGGUCAGUAGGUUGGUCGUGCCACCGGUACGUACUGGUCUCACUGAUUCCUCCUUCCUGAAGAACCGUAAUGCCAUUAAUUUGGUGUUGCGGGGAAACAGGACUGUUACUUUGAAAAAAUUAGAGUGUUUAAAGCAAGCUAACGCUUGAGUACAUUAUCAUGGAAUAAUGAAAUAGGACGAUCGAUCCUAUUUUGUUGGUUUCUAGGAUUGACGUA